GCUGGGCAUGGUGGCGCACAUCUGUAAUCCCAGUGGCUCAGGAGGCUGAGGCAGGAGAAUCGCGAGUUCAAAGCCAGCCUCAGCAAAAGCGAGGCACUAAGCAACUCAGUGAGAUGCUGUCUCUA
rnacentral:sRNA from 1 species